rnacentral:rRNA from 1 species
UACAGAGGUCUCAAGCGUUGUUCGGAUUCAUUGGGCGUAAAGGGUGCGUAGGUGGCGCGGUAAGUCGGGUGUGAAAUCUCGGAGCUUAACUCCGAAACUGCAUUCGAUACUGCCGUGCUUGAGGACUGGAGAGGAGACUGGAAUUUACGGUGUAGCGGUGAAAUGCGUAGAUAUCGUAAGGAACACCAGUGGCGAAGGCGGCUACCUGGCCCACUCUUGACGCUGAGGCGCGAAAGCUAGGGGAGCAAACGGG